UACGGAGGGUGCAAGCGUUAUCCGGAUUCACUGGGUUUAAAGGGUGCGUAGGUGGGUUGGUAAGUCAGUGGUGAAAUCUCCGGGCUUAACUCGGAAACUGCCGUUGAUACUAUCAAUCUUGAAUGUUGUGGAGGUAAGCGGAAUAUGUCAUGUAGCGGUGAAAUGCUUAGAUAUGACAUAGAACACCGAUAGCGAAGGCAGCUUGCUACACAAUAAUUGACACUGAGGCACGAAAGCGUGGG
rnacentral:rRNA from 1 species